GCACACAGCAACUAAGAUCCAGUCCAUCCUUUGGCAAUGCAAGUCCUCUUUUCAGUUCUCAUUGCCCUGACUGCCUCCUCCUCAUGUGUCCUCUCACAAGUGGUGCUGACCCAGUCAGAUUCGGUGUUAACAAAACCUGGAGAAUCCUAUAAGUUGACCUGUGCCACCAGUGGAUUCACUCUUAGUAACUACUGGAUGCACUGGGUCAGAGAAAAAACAGGCAAACGAUUGGAAUGGCUUGUUCAGUAUUAUAAUGCUCGGGGCAACUACUAUUCCCCUUCAGUCCAGGGAAGAUUCACAGCCUCUAAGGACAGCACCAACUUCUAUCUGCAAAUGAACAACCUCAAAGCAGAAGACACUGCGGUCUAUUACUGUGGAAGAGACACGGUGAAAGGGAUCCCAGAAGACCUCUGA